AACGCAAAUUGCGCCUGCGGCCUCGGCCUAAGGCAUGUCUGCCUCAGCGUCUUUCUCACCCUCUCCCCCGCUCCCCGCGGCGGUGGAGGAUCUGGUCGUUUCGAUCCCCGCAUCGAAUCGGCUGAAACGCAGAAGAGCCCUCCCCUCACACAGGGCAUCCGAAAGGUGGCGGCCUGCGGGCUUGUCCGAUCGGUGCCCGAGCGGCGAGGCGCUCUGCAGUCCGGAGACACCACGAAUCUGACCUGAGUUCAGGCAAGACUACCCGCUGAACUUAA
rnacentral:misc_RNA from 1 species